rnacentral:misc_RNA from 1 species
UCUCCGUAGGUGAACCUGCGGAGGGAUCAUUACAGAGUUCAUGCCCUACCGGGUAGAUCUCCCACCCUAUGCUAUUAUUACUUUGUUGCUUUGGCGGGCCGUUAGGCUCCGGCCCGACUACCGGCCCCGGCUGGUAAGCGCCCGCCAGAGGACCCAAAACCCUAAAUAUUAGUGUCGUCUGAGUACUAUAUAAUAGUUAAAACUUUCAACAACGGAUCUCUUGGUUCUG